UGGGGAAUUUUCCGCAAUGGGCGAAAGCCUGACGGAGCAAUACCGCGUGAGGGAAGACGGCCUAUGGGUUGUAAACCUCUUUUUUCAGGGAGGAAGAUAUGACGUGUACCUGAAGAAUAAGCAUCGGCUAACUCCGUGCCAGCAGCCGCGGUAAGACGGAGGAUGCAAGUGUUAUCCGGAAUCACUGGGCGUAAAGCGUCUGUAGGUGGUUUAAUAAGUCGGCUGUUAAAUCUUGAGGCUUAACUUCAAAACUGCAGUUGAAACUAUUAAACUAGAGUAUAGUAGGGGUAAAGGGAAUUUCCAGUGGAGCGGUGAAAUGCGUAGAUAUUGGAAAGAACACCGAUGGCGAAGGCACUUUACUGGGCUAUUACUGACACUCAGAGACGAAAGCUAGGGUAGCAAAUGGGAUUAGAUACCCCAGUAGUCCUAGCCGUAAACAAUGGAUACUAGAUGUUGAACAGAUYCGACCUGUGCAGUAUUAAAGCUAACGCGUUAAGUAUCCCGCCUGGGAAGUAUGCUCGCAAGAGUG
rnacentral:rRNA from 1 species